CUGCAGCUCGCCCGCCUCACUUCGCGUGAGACCCGGAGGACCGGCCGCGAAGGAGUGACCCGCCGACCUCGGCGCCAGCGACAUCCAGAACGCCUUUCAGCGCCACACCCCGCCCGGGUGUCCGCAAGCAGUGGGCGGGCACCGGCGCCCCGAGGGCUGGCCCUCGCCCGGCUCCGCGCGCUCCAGCCUCCGCCCUCUGCCUGAGGUCAACUUCGUCGGGCUGGAGCGAGCCCCGGGAGGCUCUCGGUGCGGAGGACGGGGUGGCCCCGAGGGACGACUCGGGGAACCGCGGGGAGCGCCUGGCCUCGGCGGGGCUCGGGAGCGAAGCCCCACGGGGAGCGGGGCGGCGUGGAACGUUAGGGCGCGGCCUACCUCCCAGAGGCCCUCAGCGGCCUACAGCACCCCCCGGGGCGAAGAGAGCGACCCAUAGGCCUCUAACGUUGAGCGCUAACCAUCCUCAGGCCCCCUGGCCCUGGGCUCCUUCAGCACUCAACAGGCUGGUGGGGGCACCUCGCCAGAGCUGAGCUGCUGCUCGGUCCCCGGGGAGCCUCUGGGGGGUGUAUUUAGAACCGAGGGUCCCUGGAGGGACUUGGGUUCAGCACGCGCGUCUAUGCAGGAGCAUUUAGCUGAUGGUACCUGAGAUGCCGACCCUCCGGUUCUGCCCGCUCUGGGAGGGAAACCCCGGGGCCUCAGCUCAAGGCUCAGCCUUUUGGGAAAGGGCACUCCGAGAGUUAUUCCGGCAUUUGCUCCGGGACAAAGAUAACCCAGAAAGUAUCUCGGUUGCAGGAGGCCGGCCUCAGCCCGGCGCAGGGUGUCCGCGAGAUGCCGGGGUGUGCGCCAGUCUGGAGACAGGCCUGGCCAGCCCUGCAUCCAGGAUCGGGUCGCGGGGCCUGGGUGAGCCGGGACAAGGUCGCCAGGCUCCUCACGACAGCACCGAGCUUCCCCAGACAGGGUGGCCGCCAGGGUGCGGCAGGCCUGGAGCCGGCGGGAAGCGGAGGCCUUGGAAAGUAGUCGACGCUUAAACUGUCUGAAUAAUUUGCAUGGGGCGGCUAUUCAUUAUUUCCGAUGAUUUUCCUUCGCAAGCAGCUCGGACGUGGCCGGCUGUGGUUCAGAGCGAUCGGAGAGCUCGUAUUUUCAUCUGUAAAUUAAAGCAAUUACGCAGCAGAUAUUA